GCCCAGAUUAGUCGCCUAGAAUAUCCUUGGUUCUAUGAGGGAAAACAUACAUUCAGUCAAAAGGCAUUUUCCUUAAGUUAUCAAUUAGACUAAAGAAAGUGGGGAACAUACAGUGUCGAGCAUGGGUGUCAAAAACACUUUGGUGCCCUGUCACGGAAGGAGCCACAAAGAUAUAAUUUCAGAGGAGAAUUCUCUACAACAGCUCAAAUGGAAAGUAGAACACAAGAUCAGAGUACAGGCAGUUAUGGAUAUUACAUGGAAACAGCUCUUUGCUCAUUAACGGAAUUUCAGAGAAUGGUGUUGCAGCAGCUUGCCACAAUCAAUGACACCCAACAAGAAAUCAUGCAGAUUUUAAGGAGACUGAAAAGCAACGAGUCUGGUGCGUUAAGGGGAUCAUUGCUGGAUGCACUGGACCUUGCAAAAUCCGAAGAUGAGCUGCAGGUCUUGGAAUACCAGCUGCAGGACAAAGAACAUCAGGACAAAGUUUUUUUCCUUUUCAAAUGUAUUGACACUCAGUGUUUCUCCUACAAUUGCACUGGCGUAGUAAAAGUGCCAUUAGUACUAAUUGGUAUUGGUACUACAAGGUGCUUUCAAUAAAAAUAAAUAAUAUUUUUGAAAUUA